rfam:Pristionchus pacificus strain PS312 contig8170, whole genome shotgun sequence.
GGGGGUAUAGCUCAGUGGUAGAGCACCCGCAUACGUAUCGGAAGGUCGGGUGUUCGACUUCCUCUGCCUCCA